UUUUCUUUUGGUGACUGUGAUGUUCAUCCCUGCAUAGAUACAGAGAAUAUUAGCAUGGACCCUGCGCAAGGAUGACACGCAAAUUCGGGAAGCGUUUCAAAUUUUU
rnacentral:snRNA from 1 species